rnacentral:rRNA from 1 species
CGUAAAGCGCAUGCAGGUGGUUUGUUAAGUCAGAUGUGAAAGCCCGGGGCGUAAAACCUCGGAAUUGCAUUUGAAACUGGCAAACUAGAGUACUGUAGAGGGGGGUAGGAAUUUCAGGUGUAGCGGUGAAAUGCGUAGAGAUCUGAAGGAAUACCGGUGGCGAAGGCGGCCCCCUCGGACAGAUACUGACACUCAGAUGCGAAAGCGUGGGGAGCAAACAGGAUUAGAUACCCCUGGUAG